rnacentral:rRNA from 1 species
AGAGUUUGAUUCUGGCUCAGAACGAACGCUGGCGGCAGGCCUAACACAUGCAAGUCGAACGCUGUAGCAAUACAGAGUGGCAGACGGGUGAGUAACGCGUGGGAACAUGCCCUUCGGUUCGGAAUAACUCAGGGAAACUUGAGCUAAUACCGGAUACGCCCUUAGGGGGAAAGAUUUAUUGCCGAAGGAUUGGCCCGCGUCCGAUUAGCUAGUUGGUGAGGUAAUGGCUCACCAAGGCGACGAUCGGUAGCUGGUCUGAGAGGAUGAUCAGCCACACUGGGACUGAGACACGGCCCAGACUCCUACGGGAGGCAGCAGUGGGGAAUAUUGGACAAUGGGCGCAAGCCUGAUCCAGCCCAUGCCGCGUGAGUGAUGAAGGCCCUAGGGUUGUAAAGCUCUUUCGCCAGGGACGAUAAUGACGGUACCUGGAUAAGAAGCCCCGGCUAACUUCGUGCCAGCAGCAGC